rnacentral:lncRNA from 1 species
UAAUGUACCUGCGCUUUGCUGCGAGUUCGAUAAAUAUGUUCUUAAUUAUAUUCAUAACAUAUAAUAUAUGUUACUACUAAAUAUAUGUAUUGAAUACAUAUUUGUAAUGGCAUUCAUCAGUAAAUUUGUAUGAUAAAAAUAUAAAAAAUAAAAUUUAAUUAAUUAAAUUUAUUUUAUAGUAUAUUAAAUGUGACUUUGUUAAAUAUAUUUUAUGGUAUUCAAAAUAUUUACAUAUUAAAUGUUAUAAAUUUUUUGUUUAUUAAUUGAUUAAAGUUUAUGAUAUUUAGAUAUUAUUUAUGAUGUAUUGAAUGCACCGAAUUA